rnacentral:rRNA from 1 species
AGUGAACGCUGGCGGUAGGCCUAACACAUGCAAGUCGAACGGCAGCACAGUAAGAGCUUGCUCUUACGGGUGGCGAGUGGCGGACGGGUGAGGUAUACAUCGGAAUCUACUUUUUCGUGGGGGAUAACGUAGGGAAACUUACGCUAAUACCGCAUACGACCUACGGGUGAAAGCAGGGGAUCUUCGGACCUUGCGCGAUUGAAUGAGCCGAUGUCGGAUUAGCUAGUUGGCGGGGUAAAGGCCCACCACGGCGACGAUCCGUAGCUGGUCUGAGAGGAUGAACCGCCACACUGGAACUGAGACACGGUCCAGACUCCUACGGGAGGCAGCAGUGGAGAAUAUUGGACGAUGGGGGCGAGCCUGAUCCAGCCAUACCGCGUGGGUGAAGAAGGCCUUCGGGUUGUAAAGCCCUUUUGUUGGGAAAGAAAAGCAGCAGGUUAAUACCCCGCUGUUCUGACGGUACCCAAAGAAUAAGCACCGGCUAACUUCGUG